CUUUGACAUCAGCACAGCUUUGAAAGGGGGAUGGGAGAGCGAGCAGAAAGCAGAAAAACCAGCUUUGAACUAUGCAUGCAAGGCCUCUUUCAAGCCUCAAAUUCUAUAAGGACGGCUUGAGCCAGGGCAGUUCAGGAAACACUUGAGGAGCAGAGGCAGCAGGGCGCUGGACCAGACAGAGGACGGGAAUGUCCAAGAAGUGGUCUCUGUGUGCGGUAAUGAGCCGAGAUUACAGCUGGCAGCUGGAAACUAAACCCCAUGGGUGCCACCCAGAGAGAGCUGAGACUGACCAUGGAGUAACGGCCAAGGUCAUGUGUGUAGCCCCGGGCCAUGGAGAGGGGGUACCCUGGAGGGGCUGGGCUGGCUGGCUGGGCUCAGGCUGUCUGACAGGCAACGGGCUCCCCAGUGUUCUGAAGAGGGAGUGGCCCUGGUGGUAACUCUCUGUGGCUUAGAGGGGCUGAAGCUAGAACACCGCUGUGACUCCGGGCCCGCUGGUUCCCUGAGGGCAAGGGCCACCUUGGGUCAUCGCUCUGAACACCUUCCCCUUGCUCUGAGAAGCACAGAUGGCCAGUGUGAACUGCCUCAGCAAUCCAGGGACUGUGUCCUCUCAUUAAGAUAUCAUGGCAAAUCACGAGAAGACACAAAAAUCAAAACAUGCAAGAGAAGAAAAGACUAAUGAAAGCAGAGAUUCCCUGCGCGGCUCUUUCUAAGCUGACUAGAAGAGCAGCAGGCACUCCGAUAACUUCCGCACAGUCCAUUUUUAUUAUUCUUCAACUAACAGGAGCUCCAUUUCAAGAUAACCAAGUAUCUCUGGUUGGUAAGAAAAAUCACUGCUUUCAGAAGAACGUUAGAGUAAAUGUUGAAUUCGCUAGUGAAACUGAAACUACUGACUCAGGACUCAUAUCUGGGAAAACAUACUGUUACAAUUCAACAAGAAGAAGACAACCAACUUAAAAAAAGACAUCUCAUCAAAGAAGAGAGACAAAUGGCUAACAGGCAUAUGAAAAGAUGCUUAAAAUUUCCAGUCAUUGGGGAAAGGCCAAUGGAAACCACAGUGAGACACCAUUACACACCCACAAGAAUUAAGCUAUAAUCGAAAAGACAAUAAUAGAUAUUGGCAAGAAUGUGGCCACAUCAGAGCCCUCAUACAUUGUUGGUGGAAAUGUAAA
rnacentral:lncRNA from 1 species